rnacentral:rRNA from 1 species
AACGAACGCUUGCGGCAUGCCUAACACAUGCAAGUCGAACGAGAUCUUCGGGUCUAGUGGCGCACGGGUGCGUAACGCGUGGGAAUCUGCCCUUUGGUUCGGAAUAACAGUUGGAAACGACUGCUAAUACCGGAUGAUGACGAAAGUCCAAAGAUUUAUCGCCAGAGGAUGAGCCCGCGUAGGAUUAGCUAGUUGGUGUGGUAAAGGCUCACCAAGCCAACGAUCUGUAGCUGGUCUGAGAGGACGACCAGCCACACUGGGACUGAGACACGGCCCAGAGUCCUACGGGAGGCAGCAGUAGGGAAUUUUGGACAAUGGGCGAAAGCCUGAUCCAGCAAUGCCGCGUGCAGGAAGAAGGCCUUCGGGUUAAAGCUCUUUUACCCGGGAUGAUAAUGACAGUACCGGGAGAAUAAGCUCCGGCUAACUCCGUGCCAGCCGCCGCGGUAA